GACGAACGCUGGCGGCGUGCUUAACACAUGCAAGUCGAACGAUGACGCCUAGCUUGCUAGGUGGAUUAGUGGCGAACGGGUGAGUAAUACGUGAGUACCCUACCUUUAACUCUGGGAUAAGCCCGGGAAACUGGGUCUAAUACCGGAUACGACAAAUCUCCGACUGGGGUGUUGGUGGAAAGCGUUAUGUAGUGGUUAUAGAUGGGGGCACGGCCUAUCAGCUUGUUUGUGAGGUAACGGCUCACCAAGGCGACGACGGGUAGCCGGCCUGAGAGGGUGACCGGCCACACUGGGACUGAGACACGGCCCAGACUCCUACGGGAGGCAGCGGUGGGGAAUAUUGCACAAUGGUCGCAAGCCUGAUGCAGCGACGCCGCGUGAGGGAUGACGGCCUUCGGGUUGUAAACCGCUGUUAGCAGGGAAGAAGAGAGAUUGACGGUACCUGCAGAGAAAGCGCCGGCUAACUACGUG
rnacentral:rRNA from 1 species